GUGGGGAAUAUUGGACAAUAGGCGAAAGCCUGAUCCAGCCAUGCCGCGUGUGUGAAGAAGGUCUUCGGAUUGUAAAGCACUUUAAGUUGGGAGGAAGGGCAGUAAGUUAAUACCUUGCUGUUUUGACGUUACCAACAGAAUAAGCACCGGCUAACUUCGUGCCAGCAGCCGCGGUAAUACGAAGGGUGCAAGCGUUAAUCGGAAUUACUGGGCGUAAAGCGCGCGUAGGUGGUUCAGCAAGUUGAAGGUGAAAUCCCCGGGCUCAACCUGGGAACUGCCUCCAAAACUACUGAGCUAGAGUACGGUAGAGGGUAGUGGAAUUUCCUGUGUAGCGGUGAAAUGCGUAGAUAUAGGAAGGAACACCAGUGGCGAAGGCGACUACCUGGACUGAUACUGACACUGAGGUGCGAAAGCGUGGGGAGCAAACAGGAUUAGAAACCCCGGUAGUCC
rnacentral:rRNA from 1 species